ACCCGCUGAAUUUAAGCAUAUCACUAAGCGGAGGAAAAGAAACUAACCAGGAUUCCCCUAGUAACGGCGAGUGAAGAGGGAAUAGCCCAGCACCGAAGCCUGCGACAGUUUUGUUGUUAGGCAAUGUGGUGUUUGGGUCGGCUAGUGGGAUUGCCACUCCACUCGAAGUCCAGCAUUGAGUAUGGUCACUGGAUUUGGCCCAGAGAGGGUGAAAGGCCCGUACGGGUGGAGGUCUCAGACAAGUAAGGCAAUUCACCAGGCCGGCCUUAGAGUCGGGUUGUUUGUGAAUGCAGCCCCAAAGUGGGUGGUAAACUCCAUCCAAGGCUAAAUACAAGCACGAGUCCGAUAGCGAACAAGUACCGUGAGGGAAAGUUGAAAAGUACUUUGAAGAGAGAGUAAACAGUACGUGAAACCGCAUGCAGGUAAACGGGUGGCGUCAAGCUGCAAGCCCAGAGGAUUCAGCUGGCUAGGAUGUUGUGUAUGCGCUUGCGCAUCUAUCAGUCAGAAUAAGAUGUGAUAGUCCACUGGUAAACGGUGGGCCCGGCCGCAAGGUUGGGAUAUGUGUACCGGGCGGAAGCCGGAGCAUGCUAUUCGUCUGUUGGGCUGUCUAGUCAGUGCACUUUCUCUGUGGUGAACACCACGACCGGUGGAAUUGCCAGUCUGCUGUAGUCAAGUCGUAUUCAGUCGGUUCUUGUAGCCAACUGGGUGCGAUCACAGGCAAACUCAGUAAACGGCGUAGGGGUGUUUCGGCAUCCCUGCGUGUUAUCGGCUGCUGGUUGUCAACGGGCCUGCCUGAUGAUUGUUGUAACCGUCAUUGGGUGGUCUGGUGGGCUAUGGUGGUAAGAAUAACUGUGCAAGGCAUCGGAGUUCUCGGCCUCAAAUGCAUCCUGCAUACACGUUACAAGUGGAGUGGGGUGCCAUUGCAGCCUGCCUGUUGUUGGGUCUGAUUGUCGUGUCGCCUGCGCAAAGUGGGCCCGGCAGUGGCCUGAUGCGGGAUGGGUUGUGGAUGGUGCUUCCUGUGUAGGGUGCGGUGGGUCAAAUAGUCAGUGGUGUAGUGGUAGACGAGCUACCCGACCCGUCUUGAAACACGGACCAAGGAGUUUAACAUGUAUGCGAGUCAAGGGGUCCUACGAAACCCAAAGGCGCAGUGAAAGUAAAGCUUCGACUUGUCUCGGAGUGAGGUGAGAUCCUGCCGUUACUCGCAUCAGUCUUUUGUCAGCAUCAGGCUAAGAGCGGUGGGCGCAUCACCGGCCCGUCCCAUGAUGUGGUCAUUGGAUGUCUGCAGUCGUUGCUUGCAGCGGCUGUGGUGCCAGUGCGUCAUCGGGGCGGAGCAUGAGCAUACAUGUUGAGACCCGAAAGAUGGUGAACUAUGCUUGCGUAGGUUGAAGCCAGAGGAAACUCUGGUGGAGGACCGCAGCGAUUCUGACGUGCAAAUCGAUCGUCAAACG
rnacentral:rRNA from 1 species